CCAGGUGUAGUGGCAGGAGCCUGGAAUUUCAGCUACUUGGGAGGCUGAGGCAGGAGAAUGGCGUGAACCUGGGAG
rnacentral:SRP_RNA from 16 species